AUUGAACGCUGGCGGCAGGCCUAACACAUGCAAGUCGAACGAGUGGCGGACGGGUGCGUAAUGUCUGGGAAACUGCCUGCUGGAGGGGGAUAACUACUGGAAACGGUAGCUAAUACCGCAUACCAUCGGAUGUGCCCAGAUGGGAUUAGCUAGUAGGUGGGGUAAAGGCUCACCUAGGCGACGAUCCCUAGCUGGGCUGAGAGGAUGACCAGCCACACGGGAACUGAGAAACGGGCCAGACUCCGACGGGAGGCAGCAGGGGGGAAGAUUGGGAAAGGGGCGAAAGCCUGAUGCAGCCAUGCCGCGGGGAUGAAGAAGGCCUUCGGGUGGUAAAGUACUUUCAGCGGGGAGGCGUUACCCGCAGAAGAAGCACCGGCUAACUCCGUGCCAGCCGCCGCGGUAAUAC
rnacentral:rRNA from 1 species